GGAGGACCAAUCAGCAGAUGAUGCUAGAGAAGCCUCAGUUGAGAAGGGUCUCAUUAGACCAUCCAUGUGAGAAGAAUGAAAAAUUCUGCACUUGCUCAAUGAAUUCUCAUCUUCCCUUCCUCGCACACCAAAGAGGCUUCAAAGUCCACCCUUGAAACAGAAGGAACAUCUGGGGAAAAUGAUUUCCAGGCCACUCAGUGCCCCACAGGCUAAUGGAACCUCUCUGCAGUGGGCCAGCAUUAUCACCUCUGCAGGGCACUGCCUGCAUCUCCAGGGCCAGCCUCCACAAAACAACUGGCCAGGAUGCCCCCAAGCCCUGGGCCCAUUGUAGCACACUUUGUUGCUUAAAAGAGAAUAUGUUGUAUGUGUCUGCUUUGGGGCUUUGGGAUUUAACUGAAGAACUAUGAGGCAUCAGGCACAAAUUAAGUGACUGUAACAUAAUGUCCCCUUCUGUCCUUUUUUCUACCAUUCUUCUGGUUCCUGGAAAGUGUGGAGAUCAGGAUGAGGUUUGCAGCAGGGAAAAGAUGACAAGGUGAGAAGGUCCUCCUGAGUACAUGCCACGGGCAGCCUCUUGUUGCUUAAGGAGUUCCAUGGAGUCCCUAGGAAUACAAACGCUUGGACCUUCCAAUGCCCAGGCCUCCUUUCCAAGGCGAGGACUUUGUAUUCAGUAGUCAAAGGUACAAAGUGGAACUCAAACCCUCACGUCUGAGACACGUCUGCUAGACAUCAAGACUGUGAAGACAUCAAGGGGAAGGGUAUCAGUACUCCAUUAAAGGGAUGACUUUUUCCCGUGUGGGAUGCUUUACAGCCAUGGAACAUGCCCAACAUAUUAAUGACACAAACUCCUUGCUGCAAAUGAACACUUGGACACAUUGUGGAGCUGUUGGAGGAGAUGUGCACAGAGCCAGAGCCCAGAGAUGAGUGUGCAAACACCGGCUGUUUCCAACUAGCUCAGAAGAUGAAGCCAGUCAUCAGAUCCACCCACCCUCAGAUCCUUAAUGAAUGAGGUUCUGUGCAGAAACUUCCCACAGGCCCAGGAUGCCAAUACAGCUGGAGGAACUGGGAGGAUGACACAAAUGGUCUGUAAAGUGGGUGAAGCUACCUGAAGCAUUUACAAGCCAAUGGACUCAAACUGUGUGCUGCUUCUGUGGUUUAUAGUAGUUCUGCUUUUUAUUAUGAAAAUAUUAUGAGUAAUAGCAAGAUUUUAAAGUUAAGGAACAGGAUGUUCAUAAUCUCAUCUUAACAACUUUCUUUUCCUACUUCUAGUAACUUGUGCAAACAAGCUCACAUGGUUAUAACUGGGUUAUAGACCAUCCAUUUUCUUUAGGAUUCUCAUGUUAGACUGGUAAGUAUGGCUUCUUAGAGGAAAGCAAUUAUUAGAGAACAAGCCACUAUAGCUCAGGAGGCCUAUGCAAUCCAAACCAGGGGCGCUGUGGUUGUCAUACUCGCUAACAACUGACCUAAUAUGAAAGAGCAUAACUUAUACAUAUCCCUUUACAAAUACUCUGGAUGCAGUUGAACCUGCUUCUUGAUCUAUAAGAAAACUCUACUUCCUACGUCAACAAAUCAAGUAGAGCCAGUAUGCAAGUCCAGUUCAUAUAAUAAUUGAUAUUGAAACUGAGUUGCAUGGAUAGAGAAUAAAACAGUAUUUACUUUGCAUAAAUAUCACCAGCGACAGCCUAGACAGAUAGCUUGCAUUGUGAGAUGCAUAUGAGCCACUGGAGUAAACGUUGUCUUUAUUAAAAGAAACAAACAUCCAAUACCAAGGGGUAUUUGGGUCUUUCACAUGUAUAAACCACAAUAUUGUCUCUCUUGAACUGAGUUGAUUUGCUCUUACUAAAAUAACUGUUCUCAAAAGCUCUCAUAGUCACAUAUAAAAUCAUGUGCAUGAAACCUUGAUAGCUAGGGUUGAAAGCUACCUCUGACUACAUCACACCUAUAAAACAUUGUCUUGAUGGGAUUGGAUCAUGUGACUUCAUUAAUCAGACUUGAUAGUCAUACCUCAGAAGCCACCCCUCUAUAUCUGUGGGGUUCCACAUUUGUGGAUUCAGCCAUCUGUUGAUAAAAAUAAAAGUUUUCAGAAAGAUACAAAAGGUGGAUUCACCAUAUGCUGAGUGCAUUGCUGAAUCCAAAGGAAUGAAGUGAUCUAAGGCAUUGCAUCAUGCAGUACAAGUAAGAGAGAGAAUUCAAAGUAUGCCAAGUGGCACAUAGGUUAGAUAUGGGCACUGCAUAAUUUAAGUGGAGAUGAUCAUCCUGAGAGUUUGGCACUGACAAGGAGUCCUAGAAUCAGUUACUUGAAGAUACUGAGAAAUGACUAUAAUCUCUGAUAUCAGAUAUACAUAUAUGGUAUCUCUCAGAGUGUGUGUCUAUUAGGAACUGGCUUGACAUUCAGUUCCAUGUCAUGGCCUGCAGUGGGCCCAAGGUUGAUGGACCAACCACUGUGGGAAUAUUGGUGGUGUCUGUGGAGGAGGAGGAAGUUGUUAUGGCUACUCUGCUAUGGUUUCCAUAUGAAAUGUCUCCUACAACCUCAUGUAUUUGAAUACAUGGUCCCUGGAUAUAGUGCUAUUUGGGAAACUGCAACUUUU